rnacentral:rRNA from 1 species
UACGGGGGGAGCAAACGUUAUUCGGAAUCACUGGGCUUAAAGGGCGCGUAGGCGGGUCAGCAAGUCAGGGGUGAAAUCCCACGGCUCAACCGUGGAAGUGCCUUUGAUACUGUUGAUCUCGAGGGAGGUAGGGGCGUGCGGAACUUCCGGUGGAGCGGUGAAAUGCGUAGAUAUCGGAAGGAACACCGGUGGCGAAAGCGGCGCGCUGGACCUCUUCUGACGCUGAGGCGCGAAAGCCAGGGGAGCAAACGGG